rnacentral:rRNA from 1 species
UGCUUUACACAUGCAAGUCGAACGGCAGCACGGACUUCGGUCUGGUGGCGAGUGGCGAACGGGUGAGUAAUAUAUCGGAACGUGCCCAGUCGUGGGGGAUAACGUAGCGAAAGUUACGCUAAUACCGCAUACGAUCUAUGGAUGAAAGCGGGGGAUCGCAAGACCUCGCGCGAUUGGAGCGGCCGAUAUCAGAUUAGGUAGUUGGUGGGGUAAAGGCUCACCAAGCCAACGAUCUGUAGCUGGUCUGAGAGGACGACCAGCCACACUGGAACUGAGACACGGUCCAGACUCCUACGGGAGGCAGCAGUGGGGAAUUUUGGACAAUGGACGCAAGUCUGAUCCAGCCAUUCCGCGUGCAGGAUGAAGGCCCUCGGGUUGUAAACUGC